GGAUGGGCAUGCGUUGUAUUAGUUAGUUGGUGGGGUAACGGCUCACCAAGACGACGAUACAUAGGGGGACUGAGAGGUUAACCCCCCACAUUGGUACUGAGACACGGACCAGACUCCUACGGGAGGCAGCAGUGAGGAAUAUUGGUCAAUGGCCGCAGGGCUGAACCAGCCAAGUCGCGUGAGGGAUGACGGUCCUAUGGAUUGUAAACCUCUUUUGUCAGGGAGCAAAGGGCGCCACGUGUGGCGUUUUGCGAGUACCUGAAGAAAAAGCAUCGGCUAACUCCGUGCCAGCAGCCGCGGUAAUACGGAGGAUGCGAGCGUUAUCCGGAUUUAUUGGGUUUAAAGGGUGCGCAGGCGGAAUGUCAAGUCAGCGGUAAAAUUUCGGGGCUCAACCCCGUCGUGCCGUUGAAACUGGCGUUCUUGAGUGGGCGAGAAGUAUGCGGAAUGCGUGGUGUAGCGGUGAAAUGCAUAGAUAUCACGCAGAACUCCGAUUGCGAAGGCAGCAUACCGGCGCCCAACUGACGCUGAAGCACGAAAGCGUGGGUAUCGAACAGGAUUAGAUACCCUGGUAGUCCACGCAGUAAACGAUGAAUACUAGCUGUUCGGGGCAAAUGAGCCUUGAGUGGCACAGCGAAAGCGUUAAGUAUUCCACCU
rnacentral:rRNA from 1 species